rnacentral:antisense_RNA from 1 species
CUUGAGCGCACCCAGCCGGACCGGCUCGUCCGCGUGGUGUUCCCGGCCGUAGGUGGCGAUCAGGGCCUGGGCCUC